rnacentral:rRNA from 1 species
UACGUAGGGAGCAAGCGUUGUCCGGAAUCAUUGGGCGUAAAGCGCGUGUAGGCGGCUUGGUAAGUCUGCUCUGAAAGCCCGGGGCUCAACCCCGGGAGGCGGGUGGAUACUGCUGAGCUCGAGUCCGGAAGAGGCGAGUGGAAUUCCUGGUGUAGCGGUGAAAUGCGCAGAUAUCAGGAGGAACACCGAUGGCGAAGGCAGCUCGCUGGGACGGUACUGACGCUGAGACGCGAAAGCGUGGGGAGCAAACAGGAUUGAGAAACCCCGGU